rnacentral:rRNA from 1 species
UACCAGCUCCCCGAGUGGUCGGGACGGUUAUUUGGCCUAAAGCAUCCGUAGCCGGCCCUGUCCUUCUUCCGUUAAAUCAAACGGCCCAACCGUUAGGCUGCGGAAGAUACCACAGGGCUAGGGGGCGGGAGAGGUGGACGGGACUCCAAGGGUAGGGGUAAAAUCCUCUGAUCCUUGGAAGACCACCGGUGGCGAAGGCGGUCCACCAGAACGCGCCCGACGGUGAGGGAUGAAAGCUGGGGGAGCGAACCGG